rnacentral:lncRNA from 7 species
UGUUAUCUUAUUCUGGCCUUAGUCUGCCCGAGGCAAGGCUUACCCAUGACGAGGCAUAUGACCAGUUAAAGGGUCCUCGGUCAGCAGGCCUACAUCGACAAGGUCCUUAAUCGACUCAGACGGAGACACUACACCGGAGACACUACACCGAGAUUCUCUUCUCGUGCAAGUUACCCGCCCGGUCUCAGCUUAAUCUUUUCAACCCAAAAACUUGGUACCUGGCAGAGGUACAUCUUUUCCGAUGUUGAAUCCAUCAUGGCCAUGAUGGAUCCACCAUCAAAUUUUAUUUUCAAAAACAACCCUUCCACUUUGCCAAACAUCUUUUGUAAAACAAAUCCUUUUGUUUUUCUAAAGCGAUACUAAGCAUAGUAAAACCUUUUUGUAAAAACAGGGUUUCAAGGAAGGCAAUCGAGUUCAAGGAAGGUAAUGCAGGAAUUGUUUAAGCAUUCAACUCCUAUCACCUAAUGCAGCAAGCAAGUGAGAAAGAUUUUAAAAACGUCAAGGAAUGUGGCAAAUGCACCGGAGCUUGCCUUCGUUAUCAGGUGAGUCUGGCUUGGAUCCACAAAUAUCAAAGUAGAAGCACUUUCCUGCCUGAGAAUUCGAGGGUGGUGGUGUCUUUUCUUCAGUGACUUCCACUUCUUCUUCGCGUUCUAACAUAACCAUAUAUAUACAUAUAUAAGAAUGAAUGCCAUGUAAUGCUCAUGAGAGUGCGAAGAUAAUAAAGAUUUAUUAUCUAAGUCUUGAAUACAACUUUCCUUCACGGAACUCCGAGAACUUAGGGUUUCCGGAGUCAGUAAAGGAGUUCAAAGGGCAGGGGUGGGGUUUUGGGUUCUAGUUAUCAAACAUGGUCUAAAUCAAUUCAAACUCUACCCAUGGCUCCUAACUAAUGUGUAGAGCUUAUGUAAAAAGUUUGAGCAUUUUUGGGAUUAUUAUCUAUUUUCUAAAAUUCCAGAACUAUUUCUUUAAGCUAUUUUAAAUGCCCUAAAAUUCCCUGUUUAAACUAAGAAUCAUGAAACUAUUUUUAUUAAAUUCUAGGGAAAAUAAGAAACCUAGGAAAAUUGGUUUCACAAUUUUAGGAUUUUUCUAUAUUUUUCCAUGGAUUUCUAAAGUUAUU